AUUGAACGCUGGCGGCAGGCCUAACACAUGCAAGUCGAGCGAUCGGCGGACGGGUGAGAAAUGUCUGGGAAACUGCCUGAUGGAGGGGGAUAACUACUGGAAACGGUAGCUAAUACCGCAUACCAUCUGCUGUGCCCCGGUGGGAGUAGCUGGUAGGUGGGGUAACGGCUCACCUAGGCGACGAUCCCUAGCUGGUCUGAGAGGAUGAGCAGCCACACUGGAACUGAGACACGGUCCAGAAUCCUACGGGAGGCAGCAGGGGGGAAUAUUGCACAAUGGGCGCAAGCCUGAUGCAGCCAUGCCGCGUGUAUGAAGAAGGCCUUCGGGUUGUAAAGUACUUUAAGCGGGGAGGCGUUACCCGCAGAAGAAGCACCGGCUAACUCCGUGCCAGCGGCCGCGGUAAUAC
rnacentral:rRNA from 1 species